rnacentral:rRNA from 1 species
GACGAACGCUGGCGGCGUGCUUAACACAUGCAAGUCGAACGGAAAGGCCCUGCUUUUGUGGGGUGCUCGAGUGGCGAACGGGUGAGUAACACGUGAGUAACCUGCCCUUGACUUUGGGAUAACUUCAGGAAACUGGGGCUCAUACCGGAUAGGAUCUCCUGCUGCAUGGUGGGGGUUGGAAAGUUUCGGCGGUUGGGGAUGGACUCGCGGGUUAUCAGCUUGUUGGUGGGGUAGUGGCUUACCAAGGCUUUGACGGGUAGCCGGCCUGAGAGGGUGACCGGCCACAUUGGGACUGAGAGACGGCCCAGACGCCUACGGGAGGCAGCAGUGGGGAAUAUUGCACAAUGGGCGGAAGCCUGAUGCAGCAACGCCGCGUGCGGGAUGACGGCCUUCGGGUUGUAAACCGCUUUCGCCUGUGACGAAGCGUGAGUGACGGUAAUGGGUAAAGAAGCACCGGCUAACUACGUG